CGCUGGCGGCAGGCCUAACACAUGCAAGUCGAACGGUAGCACAGAGGAGCUUGCUCCUUGGGUGACGAGUGGCGGACGGGUGAGUAAUGUCUGGGAAACUGCCCGAUGGAGGGGGAUAACUACUGGAAACGGUAGCUAAUACCGCAUAACGUCGCAAGACCAAAGAGGGGGACCUUCGGGCCUCUUGCCAUCGGAUGUGCCCAGAUGGGAUUAGCUAGUAGGUGGGGUAACGGCUCACCUAGGCGACGAUCCCUAGCUGGUCUGAGAGGAUGACCAGCCACACUGGAACUGAGACACGGUCCAGACUCCUACGGGAGGCAGCAGUGGGGAAUAUUGCACAAUGGGCGCAAGCCUGAUGCAGCCAUGCCGCGUGUAUGAAGAAGGCCUUCGGGUUGUAAAGUACUUUCAGCGAGGAGGAAGGCGUUGUGGUUAAUAACCGCAACGAUUGACGUUACUCGCAGAAGAAGCACCGGCUAACUCCGUGCCAGCAGCCGCGGUAAAAGGG
rnacentral:rRNA from 1 species